GCUUGCUUUCUUUGCUGGCGACCGGCGCACGGGUGAGUAACACGUAUCCAACCUACCCUUUACUCGGGGAUAGCCUUUCGAAAGAAAGAUUAAUACCCGAUAGCAUAAUGAUUCCGCAUGGUUUCAUUAUUAAAGGAUUCCGGUAAAGGAUGGGGAUGCGUUCCAUUAGGUUGUUGGUGGGGUAACGGCCCACCAAGCCUUCGAUGGAUAGGGGUUCUGAGAGGAAGGUCCCCCACAGUGGAACUGAGACACGGUCCAAACUCCUACGGGAGGCAGCAUG
rnacentral:rRNA from 1 species